rnacentral:rRNA from 1 species
UGCGUAGGGGGCUAGCGUUGUCCGGAAUCAUUGGGCGUAAAGCGCGUGUAGGCGGUCCGGUAAGUCCGCUGUGAAAGUCGAGGGCUCAACCCUCGAAUGCCGGUGGAUACUGUCGGGCUUGAGUACGGGAGAGGCGAGUGGAAUUCCUGGUGUAGCGGUGAAAUGCGCAGAUAUCAGGAGGAACACCGAUGGCGAAGGCAAUCCCCUGGGCCAUUACUGACGCUGAGGAGCGAAAGCGUGGGGAGCGAACGGG